rnacentral:rRNA from 1 species
GACGAACGCUGGCGGCGUGCCUAAUACAUGCAAGUCGAACGCAGUGGGGACGGGUGAGUAACACGUGGGUAACCUCCCAUCAGAGGGGAUAACACUUGGAAACAGGUGCUAAACCGAUACUGAUGGAUGGACCCGCGGUGCAUUAGCUAGUUGGUGAGGUAACGGCUCACCAAGGCCACGCUGCAUAGCCGACCGAAUGGGGUGAUCGGCCACACAGGGACUGAGACACGGCCCAGACUCCUACGGGAGGCAGCAAUAGGGAAUAUUAGGCAAUGGACGAAAGUCUGACCGAGCAACGCCGCGUGAGUGAAGAAGGUGUUCGGAUCGUAAAACGCUGUUGUUAGAGAAGCGGUAUCUAACCAGAAAGCCACGGCUAACUACGUGCCAGCCGCCGCGGUAAUAC